UUGACUGCUCACCAGACCAAGCGCAAGUUUUGCCGCGAAGCUAACUUUUAGCUAGCGCCUUCACGGAACCUUCGGUUAUUCGUCUUUUGGGGAAAACUCAGAUGAACGUACAACUGCCAAGAGUCUCAAAAUGCCGCUGUUUAUCGCCACGAAAGGCAAAUGUGAAAGUUGACAAGGAAUUUCUCAGAAGCGAUUGAACGACUGCAACAAAAAAGACAGCAACAGCAGGGAAACCUGAAAAGCUUUGUCACAAACACCGUGGACUCAAGAAAGCAGACUGAAUCCACUUUCACUGGAAAUACAUCAGACGCACAAUCUUCACCGACUCCUCCUCCAGUUCAUCAUCGUAGUCGUCGGGCAGCGGCGGCAGGACAGGAUCGAAACUCUUCUGGGCCACCGUGUCGUGCACGGAAAGGAGGGCCUGGCAGGACACCGCAGCACAGUAACUUCAGGUACGCCAAGCUCCUCUCGCUGAAAACAUCCUUGAGGAAGACCAUGUCCUCCUUGUGGUUGGCGUCGGGCCGCAGCUGCGAGGUGAGCAGGGCCAAUGUCUCGUGGAGCCCUGAGAGGGGCGAAGAGGAGGAAUAACAUUAAGGAACAUGAGAGAGGAUGAUGAGGUUAGACCAUGGGCUCAUCUUACCUGCUCCUGCUGUGAGCACCUGCAUGGCUUCUUUCAUUGAUCCCCCAGGAGGGCGUGGUCCUUGCAACCCCGUGAACACGGAGGGAAACUACUGCACCCCCUUUUCCACUGACAUAUUGAUGCUAUCCCAUCCCCCGCUAGCUCCCCCUGUCCUCAUCCUCCCUGCGCAGUAUCACGCCGCUCUUCGUCGCGGGCAGAUGGAGGGACACAAAAAAGGGAAAACAGAGGGAUGAGGGAACAUCCCAUCUGGCUCAUGUCGAUGGCAAUUAAAGGGCUAAA